AAUGAAAUUGCUGGGUCAUAUGGUAAGUCUUUGCUUAACCUUUUGAGAAACUCCCAGACUGUUUUCCCAAAGUGGCUGUACCAUUUUACAUUCCCAUUACCAAU
rnacentral:pre_miRNA from 1 species